CACGUAGGGCGCAAGCGUUGUCCGGAAUUAUUGGGCGUAAAGAGCUCGUAGGCGGUCUGUUGCGUCCGCUGUGAAAACUCAGGGCUCAACCCUGAGCUUGCAUUCGAUACGGGCAGGCUUGAGUUCGGUAGGGGAGACUGGAAUUCCUGGUGUAGCGGUGAAAUGCGCAGAUAUCAGGAGGAACACCGGUGGCGAAGGCGGGUCUCUGGGCCGAUACUGACGCUGAGGAGCGAAAGCGUGGGGAGCGAACAGG
rnacentral:rRNA from 1 species